AUGAGAGGAUAUCCAACGACCAACGUGCCAAGAGCCCAACGCCCGCCACACGCUCCCACCCGGACCUCGGCGCCGCCCGGCCGACCCGAAUGGCGACUCUCUCCGCCCCCUUGCUCCGUUCCCACCACCGUCACCUCCCCAUCCGCUCCUCGCCGCGCCGCUGCCCGACCGCCGCCGCCUUCCCGCGCGGGUUCGCUCCCCUCGAACCCCUCUCUUCCCGCGCGCCCUCACGCACCGUCGUCCGCUCCGCCUCAACCUCGGCAGCGGCACCGGAGGCCGCCGAGGCAUCGGGAGGCGCGGCCCCGAGCGAGACGGCCGCGGAGGUGGAGGUGGAGGCGCGCGUCGUGCUCCCCACCAACGAGUCCUCCGAGAACCUGCUGCGCAUCCGCCACACCUGUGCCCAUGUCAUGGCGAUGGCCGUCCAGAAGCUGUUCCCCAACUCCAAAGUUACCAUAGGCCCCUGGAUAGACAAUGGCUUCUACUACGACUUCGACAUGGAGCCCCUCACGGAUAAGGACCUCAAGAAGAUCAAGAAGGAGAUGGACCGAAUCAUUCGACGGAACCUCCCAUUGGUGAGGGAGGAGGUGUCCAGGGAAGAGGCUCAAAAGAGGAUCCAAGCGCUUAACGAGCCAUAUAAGCUGGAGAUUUUGGAGAGAAUUAAGGAAGAACCCAUCACAAUUUAUCACAUUGGAGAAGAGUGGUGGGAUCUGUGUGCUGGCCCUCAUGUUGAGUCUACUGGCAAGAUACAGAGAAAAGCUGUUGAACUCGAGUCUGUUGCUGGUGCUUACUGGAGAGGUGACGAGAAUAAUCAAAUGCUACAAAGGAUAUAUGGGACUGCAUGGGAGAGUGAAGAUCAAUUGAAGGCUUACAUCCACUUCAAGGAGGAGGCCAAGCGCAGAGACCAUCGGCGACUAGGUCAGGACCUUGAUCUGUUCUCUAUACAGGAAGACGCUGGUGGGGGUUUAGUAUUCUGGCAUCCAAAAGGUGCUAUCAUCAGACACAUUUUAGAAGAUUCGUGGAAACAAACUCACCUGCAACGUGGUUAUGAUCUAUUGUACACUCCACAUGUUGCGAAGGCUGAUCUCUGGAAGAUUAGUGGACAUAUAGAUUUCUACAAAGAGAAUAUGUACAACCAAAUGGAUGUAGAAGAUGAGCCAUAUCAACUUCGGCCCAUGAAUUGCCCUUACCACAUCUUGGUAUAGAAGAGAAAGCUACAAUCAUACAGGGAUUUACCCAUCAGAGUGGCAGAGCUUGGAACUGUCUACAGAUAUGAGCUCUCUGGUGCUCUGCAUGGGCUGUUCCGUGUAAGAGGGUUCACACAGGAUGAUGCCCACAUAUUUUGUCUCGAAGACCAGAUAAAAGAUGAAAUUAGAGGAGUUCUUGAUUUAACUGAAGAAAUACUGGGGCAGUUUGGCUUCCGGAAUUAUGAGGUAAACCUUUCAACCAGGCCAGAAAAAUCUGUUGGCAGUGACGACAUAUGGGAAAAGGCAACAAUUGCUCUGAAAGACGCACUAGAUGAUAAAGGAUGGGGAUACACGGUUGAUGAAGGGGGAGGUGCUUUCUAUGGUCCAAAAAUUGAUUUGAAAAUUGAGGACGCUCUUGGAAGAAAAUGGCAAUGUUCCACUGUGCAGGUUGACUUCAAUUUGCCUGAACGGUUUGACAUCACUUAUGUUGACUCGCAUACUGAGAAGAAACGGCCUAUCAUGAUUCAUAGAGCCAUCCUUGGGUCUUUGGAGCGCUUUUUUGGCAUCCUCAUUGAAAACUACGCUGGUGAUUUUCCACUUUGGCUUGCUCCAACCCAAGCCCGUAUUCUACCUGUCACAAACAAUGAGCUGCAGUACUGCAAUGAGGUGGCUUCAGAACUGAAAUCAAGAGGUAUCCGCGCCGAGGUAUGCCACGGCAAGCGUCUGCCGAAGUUAAUCAGAAACGCCGAAACACAAAAGGUGCCGCUCAUGGCGGUCGUUGGCCCCAAGGAAGUCGAAGCUAGGACUCUCACCAUCAGGUCCAGGCAUAACGGGGAGAUGGGCACCAUGCUCGUCGACGAUUUCAUCAGCAAAAUCCAAUCGGCCGUUGCUGACAAAUCUUCGCUGUAGAUACUCCAGCCUGUUGAACUUCAGUUCAUAUUGUAGAGCACUAGAUCUUUUGCUGCACAUACACCAUACAGCGCCCACCGGAGCGCUUCUGAUGAAACUGAGCGACGGAGGUCCAACAAUUUUGUGCAGAAUCGCCAUCACCACACACUAUAUAGUCAGCAACAGAAGCCCAGCAUUCUUCAUUGUACAUAGUUUGUGACCACAUUCCAGUGCAAGUUUUCAGCUAGACCUUGUUGCACAAUCACGUCGAUAAUAUUACACAAAUGAGUGGACUGCAAUCUGCACUGCACCUGC
rnacentral:rRNA from 1 species